AAGACCAAUGUAAAACAGUGUACAUGUAUAAACAUGCAUAAAUACCUACAAGUUCAUGUACACAUACACACACAUAUAAAUAACAAUAUACAAAAGACAAGCCAGAUUAAGAAUGCUCACAGGUUUGAUUGUCUAGGAUCCAAUUUUUAAGUUGCACUUUAAAAGACCCAAAAGAUGGACACUCUGUUAUCUUGAUGGGUAACUUGUUCCAGUUUAAACUUCCCUGAACUGACAGUACAUUCUGAGCGAAGGUUAAAUGCAGUGAAAACAUAAAGUAGCACUGGACAUAAGAAAUAUAUCUUGGUGGAAGUUUGAAAUGUCAGAAGAAGACUCCUAUAUAAGUGCUGCAAAUUGCAAAUGCUUUUAUUAUUACAUUGUU